GAUUGAACGCUGGCGGCAGGCCUAACACAUGCAAGUCGAACGGUAACAGGAAGCAGCUUGCUGCUUUGCUGACGAGUGGCGGACGGGUGAGUAAUGUCUGGGAAACUGCCUGAUGGAGGGGGAUAACUACUGGAAACGGUGGCUAAUACCGCAUAACGUCGCAAGACCAAAGAGGGGGACCUUCGGGCCUCUUGCCAUCAGAUGUGCCCAGAUGGGAUUAGCUUGUUGGUGAGGUAACGGCUCACCAAGGCGACGAUCCCUAGCUGGUCUGAGAGGAUGACCAGCCACACUGGAACUGAGACACGGUCCAGACUCCUACGGGAGGCAGCAGUGGGGAAUAUUGCACAAUGGGCGCAAGCCUGAUGCAGCCAUGCCGCGUGUAUGAAGAAGGCCUUCGGGUUGUAAAGUACUUUCAGCGGGGAGGAAGGUGUUGUGGUUAAUAACCGCAGCAAUUGACGUUACCCGCAGAAGAAGCACCGGCUAACUCCGUGCCAGCAGCCGCGGUAAUACGGAGGGUGCAAGCGUUAAUCGGAAUUACUGGGCGUAAAGCGCACGCAGGCGGUCUGUCAAGUCGGAUGUGAAAUCCCCGGGCUCAACCUGGGAACUGCAUUCGAAACUGGCAGGCUUGAGUCUUGUAGAGGGGGGUAGAAUUCCAGGUGUAGCGGUGAAAUGCGUAGAGAUCUGGAGGAAUACCGGUGGCGAAGGCGGCCCCCUGGACAAAGACUGACGCUCAGGUGCGAAAGCGUGGGGAGCAAACAGGAUUAGAUACCCUGGUAGUCCACGCCGUAAACGAUGUCUACUUGGAGGUUGUGCCCUUGAGGCGUGGCUUCCGGAGCUAACGCGUUAAGUAGACCGCCUGGGGAGUACGGCCGCAAGGUUAAAACUCAAAUGAAUUGACGGGGGCCCGCACAAGCGGUGGAGCAUGUGGUUUAAUUCGAUGCAACGCGAAGAACCUUACCUGGUCUUGACAUCCACAGAACUUUCCAGAGAUGGACUGGUGCCUUCGGGAACUGUGAGACAGGUGCUGCAUGGCUGUCGUCAGCUCGUGUUGUGAAAUGUUGGGUUAAGUCCCGCAACGAGCGCAACCCUUAUCCUUUGUUGCCAGCGAUUAGGUCGGGAACUCAAAGGAGACUGCCAGUGAUAAACUGGAGGAAGGUGGGGAUGACGUCAAGUCAUCAUGGCCCUUACGACCAGGGCUACACACGUGCUACAAUGGCGCAUACAAAGAGAAGCGACCUCGCGAGAGCAAGCGGACCUCAUAAAGUGCGUCGUAGUCCGGAUUGGAGUCUGCAACUCGACUCCAUGAAGUCGGAAUCGCUAGUAAUCGUGGAUCAGAAUGCCACGGUGAAUACGUUCCCGGGCCUUGUACACACCGCCCGUCACACCAUGGGAGUGGGUUGCAAAAGAAGUAGGUAGCUUAACCUUCGGGAGGGCGCUUACCACUUUGUGAUUCAUGACUGGGGUGAAGUCGUAACAAGGUAACCGUAGGGGAACCUGCGGUUGGAUCACCUCCUUACCUUAAAGAAGC
rnacentral:rRNA from 1 species